rnacentral:rRNA from 1 species
GACGAACGCUGGCGGCGUGCUUAACACAUGCAAGUCGAACGGAAAGGCCCUGCUUGCGGGGUUCUCGAGUGGCGAACGGGUGAGUAACACGUGGGUGAUCUGCCCUGCACUACGGGUUAAGCCUGGUAGACUAGGUCUAGUACCUGAUAGGAGACAUUUUUAGUGUGAUGGUUGGAAAGUUUUGUCGGUUUAGGAUGAGCUCGCGGCCUAUCAGCUUGUUGGUGGGGUAAUGUACUACCAAGGCGGCGUCGGGUAGCCGGCCUGUGGAGGUGGACCGCCACCCUGGGUCCGAGAGGAGGCACAGAUUCCGACGGGAGGCAGAUGGGGGGAAUCUUGAACAAUGGGCGCAGGGCUGAUGCAGCGGGGCCGCGUGGGGGAAGACGGCCUUCGGGUUGUAAAAUCCAUUCGCUAGGGACGAAGCUUAUUGUGACGGUACCUAGAUAAGAAGCACCGGCUAACUACGUG